rnacentral:rRNA from 1 species
UACGUAGGGGGGCAAGCGUUGUCCGGAAUCAUUGGGCGUAAAGCGCACGUAGGCGGCCCUGUAAGUCCGUUGUGAAAGUCAAAGGCUCAACCUUUGAAUGCCGAUGGAUACUGCAGGGCUAGAGUCCGGAAGAGGCGAGUGGAAUUCCUGGUGUAGCGGUGGAAUGCGCAGAUAUCAGGAGGAACACCAAUAGCGAAGGCAGCUCGCUGGGACGGUACUGACGCUAAGGUGCGAAAGCGUGGGGAGCAAACAGG